rnacentral:rRNA from 1 species
UACGAAGGGGGCUAGCGUUGUUCGGAAUUACUGGGCGUAAAGCGCGCGCAGGCGGCUAUCCAAGUCAGAGGUGAAAGCCCGGGGCUCAACUCCGGAACUGCCUUUGAAACUAGAUUGCUAGAAUCUUGGAGAGGCGAGUGGAAUUCCGAGUGUAGAGGUGAAAUUCGUAGAUAUUCGGCAGAACACCAGUGGCGAAGGCGACUCGCUGGACAAGUAUUGACGCUGAGGUGCGAAAGCGUGGGGAGCAAACAGG